UGGAAAACAGCAUUCAACACACCAACGGGACAUUGAGUAUUUGCGGUGACUGCAGAAUCAACUAUAUGUCAAGGCUGAGAAAUGUGCUACAGUCAGUCUGUCAUCUGAGUUUCACCCUGAAACCAACGGCCAAACCGAGAGGCUGAACCAGGACCUGGAGA